rnacentral:rRNA from 1 species
UACGGAGGAUCCAAGCGUUAUCCGGAUUCAUUGGGUUUAAAGGGUGCGUAGGCGGCUUAGUAAGUCAGCGGUGAAAUUCUGGGGCUCAACCCUAGCAGUGCCGUUGAUACUGCUGAGCUUGAGUAUGGAUGAGGUCGGCGGAAUGUGCAGUGUAGCGGUGAAAUGCAUAGAUAUUGCACAGAAGGCCGAUUGCGAAGGCAGCUGACUAAUCCAUUACUGACGCUGAGGCACGAAAGCGUGGGGAUCAAACAGG